CACGUAGGCGGGUUGGAAAGUCAGAUGUGAAAUCCUACAGCUUAACUGUAGAACUGCAUUUGAAACUUCCAACCUAGAGUAUGGGAGGGGGAGAUGGAAUUAGUGGUGUAGGGGUAAAAUCCGUAGAUAUCACUAGGAAUACCCAAAGCGAAGGCGAUCUCCUGGAACAUUACUGACGCUAAGGUGUGAAAGCGUGGGGAGCAAACAGGAUUAGAUACCCUGGUAGUCCCC
rnacentral:rRNA from 1 species